rnacentral:lncRNA from 1 species
AUGUGGACACGGGAACCUGGCAGGCACCAGACAAAGGUUCUAUACUUGGGGUCAGAAGACUCGAGAAGCCGGUUGAACAUUUCUGCACCUUUUACAAGUCUACCUGUCCAGGAAGAAAUGAUGACAGAGUACUCUAAUCUUUCUUUGGAGAGUCAUAACCUAUCAGUGACUGCUGCACCUAUUACAAGUCUACCUGUCGAGGAAGAAAUGAUGACAAAGGCUGCACCUAUUACAAGUCUGCCUGUCCAGGAAGAAAUGAAGACAAAGGCUGUACCUAUUAUAAGUCUGCCUGUCCAGGAAGAAAUGACGACAAAAUACUCUAACCUUACCUUGGAGAGUCAUAGCAUAUCAAUGACUGCUAUGCCUAUGAAAGAAAAUAAUAAAGGGAACCAAAUCUGUGUUGACAGAGGAAUAAUGCUUCAAAGGAAUGUUACAUUAGAACGCCCCAAUAUGCCAGCAGAAAAAAAUAUCACUUUAGAAAGACCUUCUAAUGUAGAACUCACAUGCCAAUUCACACCAUCUGGAAAUUUGAAUGCAGUAAAUGUGACUUGGAAAAAAGGUGAUAAACUACUUGAGGAUAAUUAUCUCGUCAAUGCAACGGGAAGUAUCCUAUAUACCCAAUAUAGGGUCGCCGUCAUUAACAGCAAACAGAUGGGAAGCUAUUCUUGUUUCUUUGGAGAGAAAAAGCAACAAAGGGGCACAUUUAAUUUGAAAGUUCCUGAAAUUAAUGGAAAAAACAAACCACUGAUCACUUACGUGGGGGAUACAGUUGUUUUGAUAUGUAAAUGUCAAGAUUGUCUUCCUUUAAAUUGGACCUGGUACAGUGGCAAUGGGAGUGUACAGGUUCCUAUUGGUGUUCCAGUGAAUGAUAAGUAUGUGAUCAGUGGAAAACAUGCUAAUGAAACAAGGCUGAAGAUAACGCAACUUUCAGAGGACGAUCAGGGAACCUACUGGUGCCAUGCAAUAUUCGAGUUAGGGGAGAGUGAAGGACACGUUGAACUCGUCGUGCUCAGCUAUUUGGUACCCCUUAAAGCAUUUUGUGCAAUAGCUGCCGAGGUUGUUCUCUUAGUGGCUAUUAUUCUGCUUUUUGAAAUGUAUACUCAAAAGAAAAAGAAGCCCUCAGAUGAUGGGAAAGAAAUCGAACAAGGUGAACAGCUGAAAUUGGAUGAUAGCAAUGGUAUAGAAAACAGCGGCCCUAGGCACAGAAAAAAUGAAUCCGUGGGCCAGUGAGUGACAAACAUCAUGUCAGGAGUCACAGGAAGACAUACAGAGAGUUUGCAUUUCAGCUUUAUUUCUGCUUCUUGUUAAGAACGUGUGACAUUUUUUACUUUUAAAAGGAUGAAAAGUUUAUGUAAAAUGCUCAGUAGUAGCUUUGUAAAUAAUAUAUGCAAUUUCAGAUCUACAGAUAUAUUUUCAUUCUAUAUUUUGCACUAAAGCAAGGUAAAUUAUAUUAAGUUUGUGCUAUGAGCUAUAACCCAGGAUAAUUAAUUUCAUUCCAGUCCUUAAGGGACACGCAGAACGACACCAGCAAAACCAAAUAGUACACAGAGUGAAUGUCACUCAAGACCUGUUUAUUACCAAAGAAUUCAUUAAAUACAAAGCUUUGCCAUUUGUCUUAAAAAGGUUUUUUCCCCAAUCAUGUUUACUAGGUGAAGUGUUUGUAAUAAUUCCCUGUAAAGUUUAUUCAAUUCAGUCAUAUUGAAAAGAAGUGUUAUCAAGGGGAAAUUAGCACUUUCUACCUCUGUUAAUGAUGGUUACUGUGCAGUUACCACAAGGAAAACAUACUUUUCCUAUGAAAACAUUGGUUGAAGGCAAAGAAAUAAAACCAUACACUUGCCCA